rnacentral:rRNA from 1 species
UACGUAGGGUGCAAGCGUUAAUCGGAAUUACUGGGCGUAAAGCGUGCGCAGGCGGCUUUGCAAGACAGAUGUGAAAUCCCCGGGCUCAACCUGGGAACUGCAUUUGUGACUGCAUGGCUAGAGUACGGUAGAGGGGGAUGGAAUUCCGCGUGUAGCAGUGAAAUGCGUAGAUAUGCGGAGGAACACCGAUGGCGAAGGCAAUCCCCUGGACCUGUACUGACGCUCAUGCACGAAAGCGUGGGGAGCGAACAGG